UACGUAGGGUCCAAGCGUUGUUCGGAAUUACUGGCGUAAAGCGCGCGUAGGCGGGUUUGUAUGUCGAUUGUGAAAUCCCCGGCUCAACCUGGAACUGCAGUCGAAACUGCAAUCUUGAAUGUCUGAGAGGAUGCGGAAUUCCCGGUGUAGUAGUGAAAUACGUAGAUAUCGGGAAGAACACCUGAGGCGAAGGCGGCUAUCUGGCGGUACAUUGACGCUAAGGCGCGAAAGCGUGGGAGCAACAGG
rnacentral:rRNA from 1 species